rnacentral:rRNA from 1 species
GACGAACCGAGCGAACGUUGUUCGGAAUCACUGGGCUUAAAGGGCGCGUCGGCGGGUUCUCAAGUCCGGGGUGAAAUCCCACAGCUCAACUGUGGAACUGCCUCGGAUACUGGGGGCCUCGAGGGUGGUAGGGGUAUGCGGAACUAUCGGUGGAGCGGUGAAAUGCGUUGAUAUCGAUAGGAACUCCGGUGGCGAAGGCGGCAUACUGGACCACAUCUGACGCUGAGGCGCGAAAGCCAGGGGAGCAAACGGG